AAGUCGUAACAAGGUUUCCGUAGGUGAACCUGCGGAAGGAUCAUUAACACGUAUCCAACGUUAAACCCCCCUGUGAAUUUUAUCGCUGCUCUUGCAGACGCCGGCAAGUUUGCAAUCCCUGGUAAAUCAUUGUUGAACAGAUUUUGAUUCAGGGACCUCUAACCCCGGUAGAUCUAUAGCUGCAAUUUGAGCGCUUGUGCAAGUGGCCUGGUUUCCCCAAGCAGCUAGUGUCUGAAAGUGUCGCUGGUUGGUGACCGGGCUGCUGUGGCUUUAUGCCCCCUAUAUUUACCCCACUACCUUAACUCGGGUCGCAGGAAACUGCUUCCCAUCAACCGAACAACUGUUAACAAUGGAUAUCUUGGUUCUC
rnacentral:misc_RNA from 1 species